AUUGAACGCUGGCGGCAUGCUUUACACAUGCAAGUCGAACGGUAACAGGCCGCAAGGUGCUGACGAGUGGCGAACGGGUGAGUAAUGCAUCGGAACGUGCCCAGUCGUGGGGGAUAACUACUCGAAAGAGUAGCUAAUACCGCAUACGAUCUAUGGAUGAAAGCGGGGGACCGUAAGGCCUCGCGCGAUUGGAGCGGCCGAUGCCAGAUUAGGUAGUUGGUGGGGUAAAGGCUCACCAAGCCAACGAUCUGUAGCUGGUCUGAGAGGACGACCAGCCACACUGGGACUGAGACACGGCCCAGACUCCUACAGGAGGCAGCAGUGGGGAAUUUUGGACAAUGGGCGCAAGCCUGAUCCAGCAAUGCCGCGUGCAGGAAGAAGGCCUUCGGGUUGUAAACUGCUUUUGUACGGAACGAAACGGCUCUGGUUAAUACCCGGGGCUAAUGACGGUACCGUAAGAAUAAGCACCGGCUAACUACGUG
rnacentral:rRNA from 1 species